ACCAAUCCUUUAAAUAUCAGUUUUCAAAAUCUUUUCAUAUUCUUUACUUAUUGUUAUCUGGCUCCAGGACAUACCACUCCAAUAAGUGAUUUGAAAUGCCAAAUGCCAAUGAUGACCUGACAGUCAGCCCUCUGUACACAUUUUUAGAAAAUCAUCUUGAGCAUCUUGAUAAGAAAAAUGAAUGCUAUUCUGAAACAAAGUGAUAGGGC
rnacentral:lncRNA from 1 species